rnacentral:rRNA from 1 species
AUUGAACGCUGGCGGCAUGCCUUACACAUGCAAGUCGAACGGCAGCGCGGGGCAACCUGGCGGCGAGUGGCGAACGGGUGAGUAAUAUAUCGGAACGUACCCUGGAGUGGGGGAUAACGUAGCGAAAGUUACGCUAAUACCGCAUACGAUCUAAGGAUGAAAGUGGGGGAUCGCAAGACCUCAUGCUCCUGGAGCGGCCGAUAUCUGAUUAGCUAGUUGGUGGGGUAAAGGCCUACCAAGGCAUCGAUCAGUAGCUGGUCUGAGAGGACGACCAGCCACACUGGAACUGAGACACGGUCCGGACUCCUACGGGAGGCAGCAGUGGGGAAUUUUGGACAAUGGGCGCAAGCCUGAUCCAGCAAUGCCGCGUGAGUGAAGAAGGCCUUCGGGUUGUAAAGCUCUUUUGUCAGGGAAGAAACGGUGAGAGCUAAUAUCUCUUGCUAAUGACGGUACCUGAAGAAUAAGCACCGGCUAACUACGUGCCAGCAGCCGCAGUAACAC